AGGACGAACGCUGGCGGCGUGCUUAACACAUGCAAGUCGAGCGGAAAGGCCCUUCGGGGUACUCGAGCGGCGAACGGGUGAGUAACACGUGAGCAACCUGCCCCUGGCUCUGGGAUAGCCUCCGGAAACGGGGAUUAAUACCGGACAUUCUCCGCCUUCCGCAUGGUUGGCGGUGGAAAGUUUUUUCGGCCGGGGAGGGCUCGCGGCCUAUCAGCUUGUUGGCGGGGUAACGGCCCACCAAGGCGACGACGGGUAG
rnacentral:rRNA from 1 species